rnacentral:rRNA from 1 species
AGAGUUUGAUCCUGGCUCAGGACGAACGCUGGCGGCGUGCUUAACACAUGCAAGUCGAACGGAAAGGCCUCUUCGGAGGUACUCGAGUGGCGAACGGGUGAGUAACACGUGGGCAAUCUGCCCUGCACUUCGGGAUAAGCCUGGGAAACUGGGUCUAAUACCGGAUAGGACCUCAAGACGCAUGUCUUCUGGUGGAAAGCUUUUGCGGUGUGGGAUGGGCCCGCGGCCUAUCAGCUUGUUGGUGGGGUGACGGCCUACCAAGGCGACGACGGGUGGCCGGCCUGAGAGGGUGUCCGGCCACACUGGGACUGAGAUACGGCCCAGACUCCUACGGGAGGCAGCAGAAGGG